rnacentral:rRNA from 1 species
UGAACGCUGGCGGCAGGCCUAACACAUGCAAGUCGAGCGGAUGACGGGAGCUUGCUCCUUGAUUCAGCGGCGGACGGGUGAGUAAUGCCUAGGAAUCUGCCUGGUAGUGGGGGACAACGUUUCGAAAGGAACGCUAAUACCGCAUACGUCCUACGGGAGAAAGCAGGGGACCUUCGGGCCUUGCGCUAUCAGAUGAGCCUAGGUCGGAUUAGCUAGUUGGUGAGGUAAUGGCUCACCAAGGCGACGAUCCGUAACUGGUCUGAGAGGAUGAUCAGUCACACUGGAACUGAGACACGGUCCAGACUCCUACGGGAGGCAGCAGUGGGGAAUAUUGGACAAUGGGCGAAAGCCUGAUCCAGCCAUGCCGCGUGUGUGAGGAAGGUCUUCGGAUUGUAAAGCACUUUAAGUUGGGAGGAAGGGUUGUAGAUUAAUACUCUGCAAUUUUGACGUUACCGACAGAAUAAGCACCGGCUAACUC